rnacentral:rRNA from 1 species
GUGUCAGCCGCCGCGGUAAUACGAAGGGGGCUAGCGUUGUUCGGAUUUACUGGGCGUAAAGCGCACGUUGGCGGACUUUUAAGUCAGGGGUGAAAUCCCGGGGCUCAACCCCGGAACUGCCUUUGAUACUGGAAGUCUUGAGUAUGGUAGAGGUGAGUGGAAUUCCGAGUGUAGAGGUGAAAUUCGUAGAUAUUCGGAGGAACACCAGUGGCGAAGGCGGCUCACUGGACCAUUACUGACGCUGAAGUGCGAAAGCGUGGGGAGCAAACAGGAUUAGAUACCCUUGUAGUCC